AGGACUAUACUUUCAGGGAUCAUUUCUGUAGAAUUCAAAGGGAUUCAAAGGGAAAAAUGUGCUCGAAAGUGUCCAAACUCACCUUUCCCAAUGAUGAAUUUUAGGGUUCUUGUCUCGUUAGGACUCCUGCUGGCAGUGCUGCUCUGUGCAGGUGCUGCCACCAUUUGAUGACUUGGUCAUCUUUCUAGGUGGGAAGAUCGUAGGUGGGAGCUCAUUCAGG